rnacentral:misc_RNA from 1 species
AAGUCGUAACAAGGUUUCCGUAGGUGAACCUGCGGAAGGAUCAUUCAUAAUAAGUGUUUUAUGGCACUUUUUAAAUCCAUAUCCACCUUGUGUGCAAUGUCAGUCGAUCUUCUUCAUGGAGAUCGACCAAACAUCAACCUUUAUCUUUUAACUCUUUGUCUGAAAAAUAUUAUGAAUAAACAAUUCAAAAUACAACUUUCAACAACGGAUCUCUUGGCUCUC